AGAGUUUGAUCAUGGCUCAGAUUGAACGCUGGCGGCAGGCCUAACACAUGCAAGUCGAACGGUAGCACAGAGAGCUUGCUCUCGGGUGACGAGUGGCGGACGGGUGAGUAAUGUCUGGGAAACUGCCUGAUGGAGGGGGAUAACUACUGGAAACGGUAGCUAAUACCGCAUAACGUCUUCGGACCAAAGUGGGGGACCUUCGGGCCUCACACCAUCGGAUGUGCCCAGAUGGGAUUAGCUAGUAGGUGGGGUAAUGGCUCACCUAGGCGACGAUCCCUAGCUGGUCUGAGAGGAUGACCAGCCACACUGGAACUGAGACACGGUCCAGACUCCUACGGGAGGCAGCAGUGGGGAAUAUUGCACAAUGGGCGCAAGCCUGAUGCAGCCAUGCCGCGUGUAUGAAGAAGGCCUUCGGGUUGUAAAGUACUUUCAGCGGGGAGGAAGGCCAU
rnacentral:rRNA from 1 species